rnacentral:rRNA from 1 species
GAUGAACGCUGGCGGCGUGCCUAAUACAUGCAAGUCGAGCGAACAGACGAGGAGCUUGCUCCUCUGAUGUUAGCGGCGGACGGGUGAGUAACACGUGGAUAACCUACCUAUAAGACUGGGAUAACUUCGGGAAACCGGAGCUAAUACCGGAUAACAUGUUGAACCGCAUGGUUCAACAGUGAAAGACGGUCUUGCUGUCACUUAUAGAUGGAUCCGCGCCGCAUUAGCUGGUUGGUAAGGUAACGGCUUACCAAGGCAACGAUGCGUAGCCGACCUGAGAGGGUGAUCGGCCACACUGGAACUGAGACACGGUCCAGACUCCUACGGGAGGCAGCAGUAGGGAAUCUUCCGCAAUGGGCGAAAGCCUGACGGAGCAACGCCGCGUGAGUGAAGAAGGUCUUCGGAUCGUAAAACUCUGUUAUUAGGGAAGAACAAAUGUGUAAGUAACUAUGCACGUCUUGACGGUACCUAAUCAGAAAGCCACGGCUAACUACGUG